CUCAAGAUGAGAUUUCCCAUAGCAUAAGCUAGUAAGACCCCUUGAAGAACACAAGGUUGAUAGGUCAGAGGUGUAAGUGUGGUAACAUAUUUAGCUGACUGAUACUAAUAGGUCGAGGGCUUGACCAAUAA
rnacentral:rRNA from 1 species